GGGGUUGUGGCUCAGUGGUGGAGCACUUGCCUCCCACGCGUGAGGCACUGGGUUUGAUCCUCAGCACCA
rnacentral:tRNA from 1 species